rnacentral:rRNA from 1 species
AUGGAGAUCGAUCAAUUCAAUAGUUCCGGUGACUUGUACAUGGUCGACGGCGCGUCAUCCUCCUCAUCUCAUGCCAUGCUUGCUUCUGUCAGCUUAUGGCACCAUCGGCUCAAUCACCCCCACAGUGGCAUGACGACCACUCUCCUUCACGAAUUCCAGCUUCCAUAUGAUCAUGAUAGCCAUGAUACGUCUCUAUGUCAUGCGUGUCAACUGGGCAAGCAUGUGCGCCUGCCCUUUGGCACGUCUUCUACCCGUAGCUCUUUUCCUUUUGAGUUGUUACAUUGUGAUUUGUGGACAUCACCUGCCCCUAGUGUGUCUGGUUUUAAGUAUUAUCUUGUACUCUUAGAUGACUAUUCUCACUUUAUAUGGACAUUUCCCAUUCGUGCAAAGUCUGAUGUUCAUGCGUUGUUUGUCAACUUUCGACACUAUGUAUCUACUCAUUUCUCCCUUCCUAUUUGCUUUUUGCAGUGUGAUAAUGGUCGGGAGUUUGAUAACUCUCGCAACCGCGCUUUCUUUCUUGCCCACGGCAUUCUUCUCCGCUUUUCUUGUCCUUACACCUCACCUCGGAACGGCAAGGCCGAGCGCUCUCUUCGUACCAUCAACGAUAUCAUAUGCACCCUCCUCAUUCAAUCUUCCAUGCCCUCCUUCUAUUGGGUCAAAGCACUACGUCAUGCCACUUUUCUCCUCAACAUACGUCCUACCAAGCUAUGUCCCCGCUUCUCCCCCUACGAAUCCCUCUUCCUGGCUUCGCCCGCAUAUCAUGAUCUCAGGGUCUUUGGCUGUCUUUGUUUGCCUAACAUGGCUGCUACGUCCGAAAACAAACUGUCACCAUGA